AGAGAGAGAGAGAGCUUGCCAAGCGAAUUGAAUGCCAUGCUUUCCGGCAUCGCUAGUUGUCAGUUUGGUUCCGACCGUUACAACGUGAAGUUCAGCGCACGGUGAAUUUUGUGCGUCGUAUUGUCGUCGUCGCCGUCGUUGUUUACAGUUGUUUUGUUACACAGCGCGUCGUCGUUAACGUCGUUUCUUUUUUUGUGGUCGUACCACAUAAAAUUCUGCUACUUGGGGGAAAAGUGCCGUUAAAGGCUCGAAAGGCGGCAAAUUAAAAGCAAACAAAAUCCAUUUUGUUUGGGUUUUUUGGGGCAAAAGAUUAAAAGUCAACAAACGCGGCAGCUUAUCCGAAACUGAGCUUCAAUAUAAAGGCAGCAACAACAGCAGCAGCAAAAGAAAUGCGAGCAAAAACAAAGCGCGCUAAAUGUGAGAACAAAGCGUUAUAAAAGACGCGGGCGGUUGUUCGUCACUGUUGCUCUCGCAGCUUAGUCUUAUCCACCAGCCUAUGGUUGUUGUUGUACAACUGCACGCGUCGGAAAUGAUUACGUUGGUUGUAUGGAAGGGAUGUGGGGAAGGGGGGACAAGGCAAGGCGGUUAGCGGCAUUUGAGUCUUCGUCAUAGCCAUCGUCAUCGACUCAUGUUGCAUAUGGGUCUCAUGUGUGUUGCAUACCCAGCAGCCAGCCGUCUGAGACAGUUGGAAUUUACCCCAACCGUUUGCCAAGCGGCGAAAAUGGUUGAGCUCACAUCUCUCUCUCUUUUUUACUCUCUCACUGAGUGCGCUGAAAUGUGGUUGUCCUGGUGAGAGCGAGUUUGUCUGAGUUUUUCGGCGAACUUGCAACUUUUGCGCUGCUCUUCGCUUUGGGCAGCGCUUCAGCGCUCCUGUGAUUUCAGUUGACAAAAGUUCCUUGCGCCGUACGGACCUUCAAUUCUUGACGUUUAUCGUAAUUGCUGUCGUAAUAUCGUCACGCGCUGUUACUUUAGUCGAGCCGUCUUUGUGUACGUGCGAGUGAAAGAGUGACUCAAGUAUAUAUGUAUAUAUGUUU